UUAUUUGGCCGAAUUUGCGCUAGAGUAGUUAAGCGUGCUUGGGCGAGAGUAGUACUAGGAUUGGUGACCCCUGGGAAGUCCUCGUGUUGCACCCC
rnacentral:rRNA from 1 species